AGCUAUAAUGCAGUCGAGCGAAUGGAUUAAGAGCUUGCUCUUAUGAAGUUAGCGGCGGACGGGUGAGUAACACGUGGGUAACCUGCCCAUAAGACUGGGAUAACUCCGGGAAACCGGGGCUAAUACCGGAUAAUAUUUUGAACUGCAUGGUUCGAAAUUGAAAGGCGGCUUCGGCUGUCACUUAUGGAUGGACCCGCGUCGCAUUAGCUAGUUGGUGAGGUAACGGCUCACCAAGGCAACGAUGCGUAGCCGACCUGAGAGGGUGAUCGGCCACACUGGGACUGAGACACGGCCCAGACUCCUACGGGAGGCAGCAGUAGGGAAUCUUCCGCAAUGGACGAAAGUCUGACGGAGCAACGCCGCGUGAGUGAUGAAGGCUUUCGGGUCGUAAAACUCUGUUGUUAGGGAAGAACAAGUGCUAGUUGAAUAAGCUGGCACCUUGACGGUACCUAACCAGAAAGCCACGGCUAACUACGUGCCAGCAGCCGCGGUAAUACGUAGGUGGCAAGCGUUAUCCGGAAUUAUUGGGCGUAAAGCGCGCGCAGGUGGUUUCUUAAGUCUGAUGUGAAAGCCCACGGCUCAACCGUGGAGGGUCAUUGGAAACUGGGAGACUUGAGUGCAGAAGAGGAAAGUGGAAUUCCAUGUGUAGCGGUGAAAUGCGUAGAGAUAUGGAGGAACAC
rnacentral:rRNA from 1 species